rnacentral:lncRNA from 10 species
CACAGAGUAAGGGCAAAACUGCACUGAUCUUGGUAUUUUCCGGUUUUUAUGAAUCCAUUUAUUCUCAUUUUUAUUGUCAGACAAUAAAAAUUUGAAAACCGGCAGAUUAUACAUUUCAAUAAGGCCACUAACUUAAUUCUAUCAAAUCAGGUAAAUUGUAUGUACAUGUAUGUAGUUAUGUAUACAUAUGAAAAAACUAUAAUACAAAUUAUCACCAAAUGAUUUAGAAAUGAAAAGUGUAUAAUUUAAUAAAGGAGUCUGAUGACACACUGUAUGUUGGCACAAACUGCCUCUUGCCUUGGAGGACUUCUCAGGACCGCUAAAAUGUUGAAAGGACUUUUUUUCCUGUUUUGUUCACUAAUGUAUCCCAAGUGCCUAGAACUGGGCCUGGCUAUUAGCAGAUGCUUAUUUGUUGAAUAAAUUAAUUAAGCCAUGUUCAUCUAAUUUUGAUAUGUGACCAUGAAAUGUGGAGGCAUUUGUGGAUUCCUUAAGGGAAAGGUGUGCUGUCUUAUUCAUCUUUGUAACAGUAGCAACACACACAGAGAGUAUGCAUACUAUAUAUCAGCAGAUUAAAAUUAAUUUUGUGGUGUUAAUUUCCCAUGGAAAUACUGGGACAAUUAAAAAAAAUGUGGUUGAGGUUCUCUACACUCAUUUAAAGAAUAAGUCUAUUAGCAUGAGCUGUAUUUUAAUCACUGAAGAAAAGUAAUAUAAAAGCUCCAAACUAUCAUUGUAUUAUAUGGUUAUAAUAGCCUAUAAUUAGGUUAAUAAACUUUAGGUACUCAUCUAUAUAUGUAUGUUUUAAAGUAUUUAAUAUGCAUGUACUCAGAGACUUAAGAUAAAGCUUAGACUACUCUGACAUUUCAAAGUGUGUUCAGUUUUUUAUGAGUGGGUGACAGUUGUAAAACUCUAAGGUCUCUGGAUUUAGUUCCAUGCUCUUGGAGACAGCUGUGUUCCUAAAUUCAGAAUAUUUUGAAUUGUAGAAAGGUAACAGAGUGCAUAUA